ensembl:snRNA U7 U7 small nuclear RNA
UAGUGCUUCAGCUUUUUUAAAGAAUCUUGUCUAGCUGGUUUUCUGGUUUUCACUGGAAAGCCCAU